rnacentral:rRNA from 1 species
AUGCGGUCGCCGCCGAUGCUCUCCCAGUGCCUCGCCGGCUUACUGUCUCAUGACGAGGCCACAGCUCACUGCAUCGACAUCGUGCCCGAGAGGGACCAGUCGCGCCUGCCGUCGAGACCGUCCCAUCACAGCGGUAUGCAGAAUGUUCGUCCAUACAAGUAUGCGGCCGACAAUAUUGAGAUGCAUGGCAUGAAUAUAUUCAAGUUCAGUAUUGUUGAUAUUGUCGGACUAUCUAGAUCAGAUCUUGCAACUCCAAAAGGGCCCUUGAAAUGCUGUGAGAGUUCACUUGAGCUAGUUAAUGUUUUGAAAAAUGAGAUAUGUGAUGGGCUAUUGACAUUCAGAAACAAACGUGUUUUAGAGCUGGGCUGUGGAUAUGGGCUUCCUGGGAUACUUUCUUGCCUGAAGGGAGCUUCGACACUGCAUUUUCAGAAUCCCAGUGCCGAAAUAAUAAGACACAGAGCAAUCCCCAAUGUGUUCGCAAAUCUCGAGCAAGCUCGAUACAAACAGAGUCACCAACAGGGAAGCCCUCUUACUCCAUCAUGGCAACAUUUGCCUCAGGACAUCCAUUUCUAUGCUGGGGACUGGGAUGAGCUUCACACGGUCCUGUCGGUGAUACAAGAGGAUGAGGUGGAUGCAUUGUCAGGAGUAGGACUAGGGUUCUGUGAAGAUGACUUUUUGGAUGGUUGCAGCAGCCAGGAUGGGAACAAUAUCUGCCACGAAACCUCGUCAAGACGAUCAACAAAACUGUCAGGCAGCCAUAUAGUGUUAGUGAAUGAGAUCCCCUACUCUGCAAGCUCUCUUCAAAACCUAUAUUCGCUCAUCAAAAAAGUGCCUUCAUAUGGAGUGAUGUACCUAGCGGUGAAAAAGAAUUACAUCGGCUCCAGCAGUGCGGUGCGGCAGCUCAGAGCAUUGGUCGAUGAGGAGGGGGCCUUCGGUGUGCACCUCAUCGCCGAGCCCCCCGAGAGGGAGAUCUGGAAAUUCUUCUCUAAAUAA